rnacentral:tRNA from 1 species
GGAGAGGUCGCAUAGUGGACUAGUGCGCGCGCUUGGAGAGCGCGUAUGGCCGCAAGGUCAUCGCGGGUUCGAAUCCCGCCCUCUCCGCCA